UUAUGGAAAAGAUAUGAAUGUUCAAAGAUAAGGUGUCAAUUUCGUACCUACUGUCACUUCUUUUGGGCAUCACAUACGAAUACGGACAGCAACGGAAGAUCGGCGACUGGACUUGGAGGGAGCAUUUUCUCGGCUACAAUUUCUACUUACUAUAUAGUGAAUUCUAAGACUGGAUGAAGGAAUUAUGAGGCGUUGAAGGCAGCACUUGUAAUUUGAAGGCAGUAAGUAUAUCGUUUUGUUGCUAGUUAUGGGUGAAGGCAUAUCUUGAGUUUUUGGAUGAAUUUUUGGCUCAAAAUUUCCACAAGUGUGUGUAAUUGGGUUAAAAAGUUUUAGAUCAAAGUUUCAUAGUAUUUGAAUAAUUACUUUGUGAGAUAUGAAGGAAGUUGUACACGGGUGUAAAAAAGCUAGGGUUUGAAGCUACAGUUAGGGUUUUCAAGAUAUCACAAGAUCCAAGACGAAUUUACGGUUGAAUUUUGGUGUGGUAGUUGCUAAAGAUAUAUCAAUACUCCAUGUAUAAUUUGGAGUUGUUUAGACGGUUAGAUCGUAAGUUAUGAGCUGUUGAACUUCGGGAAAAAUUCCUCAUAAGGAUAUAUAAGUUUUUUAUAACACCUUAUCAAGUAUUUUGGUGUUCUUUGGAUUUUAAGGCUUUUAUAUUGAUGUAAUUGCUCCAAAGGAGAGGAGUUUAUAUAUAUAAAAUUCUUACCCUUAUAUUUCAAA
rnacentral:lncRNA from 1 species